rnacentral:lncRNA from 1 species
GCACAAAUUGCUGCUGCAGGUAAUUCACACAGCACACAAGGAACAAAAACACCCAAGAGGAGAAAAAUUUAACUUUUUGCUCACUAGUUUCACAUUUGUGCUCACUAGAAGUUCAUUUACACACGCAAAAUGUUAAAAUACACCGGCUAAUUUUUUUCACCUGGUAUCAAACUAAGAAUCCUACUGUACUCCUAAUGACGAUGACAUCUAAAUUUUAAAGACUAAGUUAUGUUAACCCCCUCUUCAGAACUGAACUCCUACUGCAACUACCAUAAAACUGAGCUCUGUCUGCCUCACAAAGACAGAAUUACUUGGGACUUGCCCCCAAGGUGAAAUUCACCACAGCAUGACUCAGAUGUGAGAAAUCCCAGAACAUGAAAAGAUGACCACUGAGGCAAAAUUUUUAAUUUAAAAUCAAUUAAAGUUUACUGGAGAAAUCUUUUCAGCAUUAUAGAUAUAUAAAAGGAAAAUAAAUUAUUCAAUACAUUAGAAAAGUCAACAAAUAGUAUAAUUCAAUCUUGAUAGGUCUACACAUUCACAACCCAGAGAGAGAGAGAGAGAGAGAGUGAGAAAAAGCCAAGCGAAGUGGGUGAGAACCCUUGGGCGUCUCUUCUAUUCUAACAUUAACUUCAUUCAAGCAGUUAUACAUUUAUGCAAAUGACACAUAAAUCAAUAGGAUCCAAUGCAAUUGGAUAGAGUCUAUCAAUAUAUCUACGUCAGCAGUGUCCAGUUAACAGUCUGUUGUUCAGCUCUGAUGACGUGAUCAGCUCCAGCCUGUCUGAGCAACAAGUUCUUAUCAUGGCUUAUCAUGGUGUUGUUCAGCUCUGUGUCCUUCAUAAACACAGCAAACAGUCUUCGUGUAUCCUGUAUCACGUACAGAUCAAACAGUCCUUAAACACCCUAAAGUCUCUGAUAAAAUGAAAGAGAAGGAAAGAGUGGAUGGAAAGAUCUUCUGGCCUGUAUAAGACUUUACUCUGUGUAGAACAGGCAUGCACUGCUAUCUGAGGAGAGGUUCCCGGCAUUUUACUCAGAGAGCUUGUUGUCUCCUAGUUCAUAUACACUGGUCGUGGUUAUGCGUGCAAUUUCUGAAUUAUAGCAUAUAAGACAAAAACCAAUCAGUUAUCACCUAAUAUUUAAAAUAACAUUUGGUUAUUAUUAUUAUUCUUACUACUAUGUAUUGGCAUGUCAAUUCUGUUGUAUAUUUGUAUAUUUACAUUUACUCCACUCAAAAAAAACAAUAACUCAGAAUUACUCAUAUAUCCUGUAUGUUUCACAAUUUAACUAUUAAAAUAAACUACAUUUGCAACAUUAUCCUUCUCUUUAU